rnacentral:rRNA from 1 species
CACGUAGGGGGCGAGCGUUUGUCCGGAUUUAUUGGGCGUAAAGAGCUCGUAGGCGGCUCGGUAAGUCGGGUGUGAAAUUUCGAGGCUCAACCUCGAAACGCCACCCGAUACUGCUGUGGCUAGAGUCCGGUAGGGGAGCGUGGAAUUCCUGGUGUAGCGGUGAAAUGCGCAGAUAUCAGGAGGAACACCAGCGGCGAAGGCGGCGCUCUGGGCCGGUACUGACGCUGAGGAGCGAAAGCGUGGGGAUCAAACAGG